rnacentral:rRNA from 1 species
UUUAAGGUCUAACCUGCCCAAUGAGGAUUUAAAUGGCCGCAGUAUUUUGACUGUGCAAAGGUAGCAUAAUUAUUAGUUUUUUAAUUGAAAGCUUGUAUGAAGGGUUGGACGAGAUAAAAUCUGUCUUUAUUUAAAUUAAAGUAUAAUUUAACUUUUAAGUCAAAAGGCUUAAAUGUUUAUAAAAGACGAGAAGACCCUAUAGAUCUUUAUUUAGUUAAGAUUUUAAUAAUUUAGGAUUAUUUUAAUUUGGAGUCUUAAUUGAAUUUUAUUGGGGUAAUAUAAAGAUUAAAUGAAUUCUUUUUAUUUAUGACAUUAAUUUAUGAAUAUAUGAUCCAUUAAUAUUGAUUAUAAGAUUAAGUUACCUUAGGGAUAACAGCGUAAUUUUUUUGGAGAGCUCAUAUCGAUAAGAAAGUUUGCGACCUCGAUGUUGGAUUAAAAAUUAGCUUGGGUGCAGAAGCUCAAGAUUUUGGUCUGUUCGACCAUUAGAUUUUUACAUGAUCUGAGUUCAGACCGGCGUAAGCCAGGUCGGUUUCUAUCUUUAUUCAGAUAAAAUAUUUUAGUACGAAAGGACCAAGUAUUUAAUAUAAUUAUAUUUAUUUUUU